AAAAUUUAAGUUAGGACAAGUCUUGGUUGCCUUGGGGCUCAAAAUUUUGAGGCCCACGGGGGAUGAUGAUGAUGAAAAAAAAAAAAAAAAAGAAAAAAAAAACAAAGGAGUCGUCCUAACAGUUUCAGACGACUCAAUCUGCUUCGACACUCCGCAGGACGCAGCCUCCGCUAUCGCCUCAGGUGACAAGGACACUCUUCUUAGGAUCUCGUGAGGUUAUUUGCCUUGAACUUGAAUCAAAUCAUUGCAUAUUGAGGGCCUCACAUUUGAAAGUUUGCCUAGGGCCUCUCAAAAUAUUUGGAAUCUCAGGCCAGCCCUGAACAAAUCAUUUGUAGUGUGUGUGAUAUGCAGCAUAAAACAACCACAAGCAUCAAAAUGUGAGGCAACAGCAAGCUAAAAACAUAAUUUAAGCAUCUAUUAGGAGCCAUUUAUACAAUAGAAUAGUAGAAGACAAACUAACUAUCAGUCGUCUCUAACUUCACCACCAUAUAAGUUCAUGAAUCAGGACAUCAAACCGGCCCAUUCAAUAAAUAUAAUUAUUAACCAAAGUAAAAAUAUAUCUAACAAAAAGCUUGCACCAAAUAUACUAACGAAUUGAAAAUGUGACAGAUGACUUGUUCGCAUGCACAUGACAUGGGCAACCUAGCAAGAGAAAUCACAACAGAUCACAGUUUGUUCAGUAAAAGUUCAAACCAUAUGUGAUAAUCAACUCGAUCUAAUGCCACGCCAUAAUUCCACUGAAAAUUCAGCCCUUAAAGUUUGUGAAUAUUUGAACCAGUUUACAUUACAUCCAACAAAUCAACUACUUCUACACUAUUUUCAACAUUAGUGGCUUCUAAGAUCAUGGCUGGUUGGCUAAAUCAAAAUUUUCAUCAA